rnacentral:rRNA from 1 species
CCGGGUGAGUAACACGUAGGUAAUCUACCUUUGGGUGGGGAAUAACAACCGGAAACGGUUGCUAAUACCGCAUAAUGCAGCGGCACCACAUGGUGACAGUUGUUAAAGCGGGGGAUCGCAAGACCUCGCGCCUAAAGAGGAGCCUGCGGCGGAUUAGCUAGUUGGUAGGGUAACGGCCUACCAAGGCAACGAUCCGUAGCCGGCCUGAGAGGGCGGUCGGCCACACUGACACUGAAAUACGGGUCAGACUCCUACGGGAGGCAGCAGUCGGGAAUUUUGGGCAAUGGGCGAAAGCCUGACCCAGCAACGCCGCGUGAAGGAUGAAAUCCCUCGGGAUGUAAACUUCGCAAGAACGGGAAGAAUAAGUGGAAGCAAAUACCUUCCAUGAUGACGGUACCGUUUGUAAGCUCCGGCUAACUCCGUGCCAGCAGCCGCGGUAAUACGGGGGGAGCAAGCGUUGUUCGGAUUUACUGGGCGUAAAGGGCGCGUAGGCGGCCGUGCAAGUCAGUUGUGAAAUCUCCGAGCUUAACUCGGAACGGUCAACUGAUACUGCUCGGCUAGAGUGCGGAAGGGGCAACUGGAAUUC